rnacentral:tRNA from 1 species
GGACUCGUAGCUCAGUUGGUUAGAGCGUUUCAUUGACAUUGAAAAGGUCCCCCGUUCGAGCCGGGGCGAGUCCA